GGUAAUAUAGCUCAGUGGUAGAGUGCCUACCUAACAUGCACGAGAACCUGGGUUCAAUUCUCAGGACCA
rfam:Heterocephalus glaber contig108200, whole genome shotgun sequence.